rnacentral:rRNA from 1 species
UAAUACCCCAUAGUAUCGUAAGAUUAAAGCUCCGGCGGUACAAGAUGGCUGUGCGUCUGAUUAGCUAGUUGGUGAGAUAGCGGCUCACCAAGGCGACGAUCAGUAGGGGGCGUGAGAGCGUGGCCCCCCACACGGGUACUGAGACACGGACCCGACUCCUACGGGAGGCAGCAGUAAGGAAUAUUGGUCAAUGGAGGCAACUCUGAACCAGCCAUCCCGCGUGCAGGAUGACGGCCCUACGGGUUGUAAACUGCUUUUAUUUGGGAAGAAAGGUAUGUUUUUAGCGUAUUUGACGGUACCAAAUGAAUAAGCACCAGCUAACUCCGUGCCAGCAGCCGCGGUAAUACGGAGGGUGCAAGCGUCAUCCGGAAUCACUGGGUUUAAAGGGUGCGUAGGCGGCAUUAUAAGUCAGAGGUGAAAGCCCGGCGCUCAACGUCGGAAUUGCCUUUGAUACUGUAGUGCUUGAAUCAGGUUGAGGUCGGCGGAAUGUGACAUGUAGCGGUGAAAUGCAUAGAUAUGUCAUAGAACACCCAUUGCGAAGGCAGCUGACUGGAUCUGUAUUGACGCUGAGGCACGAAAGCGUGGGGAGCGAACAGGAUUAGACACCCUGGUAGUCCACGCCCUAAACGAUGCUUACUGGACAUGUAUAUGCGUGUCUGAGGGAAACCAUUAAGUAAGCCACCUGGGGAGUACG